AAGUCGAGGGGCAGCAUGGUCUUAGCUUGAUAAGCUGAUGGCGACCGGCGCACGGGUGAGUAACACGUAUCCAACCUGCCGUCUACUCUUGGCCAGCCUUCUGAAAGGAAGAUUAAUCCAGGAUGGCAUCAUGAGUUCACAUGUCCGCAUGAUUAAAGGUAUUUUCCGGUAGACGAUGGGGAUGCGUUCCAUUAGAUAGUAGGCGGGGUAACGGCCCACCUAGUCAACGAUGGAUAGGGGUUCUGAGAGGAAGGUCCCCCACAUUGGAACUGAGACACGGUCCAAACUCCUACGGGAGGCAGCAGUGAGGAAUAUUGGUCAAUGGGCGAUGGCCUGAACCAGCCAAGUAGCGUGAAGGAUGACUGCCCUAUGGGUUGUAAACUUCUUUUAUAAAGGAAUAAAGUCGGGUAUGCAUACCCGUUUGCAUGUACUUUAUGAAUAAGGAUCGGCUAACCCCGUGCCAGCAGCCGCGGUAAUACGGAGGAUCCGAGCGUUAUCCGGAUUUAUUGGGUUUAAAGGGAGCGUAGAUGGAUGUUUAAGUCAGUUGUGAAAGUUUGCGGCUCAACCGUAAAAUUGCAGUUGAUACUGGAUGUCUUGAGUGCAGUUGAGGCAGGCGGAAUUCGUGGUGUAGCGGUGAAAUGCUUAGAUAUCACGAAGAACUCCGAUUGCGAA
rnacentral:rRNA from 1 species